UGGCCUUGAUAAGAUUAGAAAGUUGCAUCUAACUUGAGAUUCUAACAUCUGAUUUUUAAGCACUUCCAAUACUAUGAUUUCAUUGGUUCUCCUUUUUGCGGUUGGGGCAUUUGCCCGGCCUGAAACGUGCGACUACACCCCUUGGAGUCAGUGCGAGGGAACUUCACUGUGUCAUAAAGGGCAUAACGUAGCAUUCAAACUACAAGAAACCACAUACGAUGUUGGUCGGGAAGUAAUGAAAACCAUGAUGGCUAAAAAGAUAGAAUCUGCAAGGUAGGAAAUAAAGACUGAGGCAAGAGUGUAGAGAUGCUGGGGAAUGUCCAGAACUUAUGGGAAAUAUGCCAACUGAAGGACCAAUCACGUGUAGCGCGGGAGUGCAGGGACUUACCCUGGGUCAAGUACAUCAAAGAGUUGCUCUAACGUUGACCAAGUAGCUUUCCUCUCCUUGGAUGAACUUGAUCUUACUUCAGGUCUGAUAUCGGGUCGAGAAAGUAACGAUGUUUGGGGGUGGACCGACCCCGUCAAUGGGGAAGAAUACGUCAUAAUGGGACUGACCACGGGAACAUCGUUCGUAAGAAUUUCUCCCGACCCCGAGAACCCAACAGUUGUCGCCUUUAUGCUCACCAAGACGCAAACUAGCACGUGGAGGGAUAUUAAAGUCGUGAAUAAUUACGCUUUCGUUGGAUCAGAAGCCAGACAACAUGGAAUCCAGGUUUUUGACCUCACGCGUCUUCGAGGACAGACAAACCUUGGUUUAGUUGAAGAAGAUGUUGACUAUGUAAGAGUUGGUAAUACACACAAUAUCGUUGCAAACGAGGACAGUGGUUUUGUAUACGCAGUUGGGGCGACUGAAGGAGGAGGUCUCUAUGAACCAUGCUCAGCUGGUUUGCAUUUCAUCGAUGCGACAAACCCAGCUGAUCCAUUCUUUGCUGGCUGCUAUUCUGCCGAUGGGUACACUCAUGAUGCACAAUGUGUGAACUACAAUGGUCCAGAUGUCAACUAUGUUGGUCGAGAGGUGUGCUUCGCUUAUAAUGAAGAUAGUUUGACGAUUGUUGAUGUCACAAACAAAGCAUCCCCGUCCUUGAUCAGUAAAGUCACAUAUCCAAACUUCAGCUACACACACCAGGGCUGGGUGACAGAGGAUCACACAACCGUUCUACUCGACGAUGAAACUGACGAGUAUUACUCCACUGCAGGAAGUCAAAAUACACGAACUUACGUCUGGGACGUGAGCACAUUGAGUAAUCCUGUUCUGAAAAGUACCCAUGUCUCAAACCAGAUCUCCAUAGAUCAUAACCAAUACAUUGUAGGCGAUCUUACCUACCAGUCUAACUAUGAAUCUGGACUGAGGAUUUUAAGAGUUGAUCAGAAUGCCUAUACCCUGACUGAGGUAGGCCACUUUGACGUGUACCCAGGGGCAGGAGCGGAUUUCUACGGGACAUGGAGCAACUACCCUUACUUUGCCUCCGGUGUGGUUGCCUUGACGUCUAUUGAGUACGGUCUUUACCUCGUCAGACCCAACAUCGCUGCCAUGGAGAUGGCCUAUGAGAGCAACUUGACGGGAACACAAACAAGAAGCAGUUGGAACAGCCAACAAUGCCCAAUGCAAACACAAGCAUGUGAGGCCCCCAAAUGCUACUAGAGACCAAGAACGAGAAAUGGGAAACACGAGCAUAUGUAUAAUCUAGACACCUAAAUGCUACUAGCAAUAUAUAACAAGAAAUUGGUACUCAACAAGAAAAAUAUCAUUUCGAAAAUUUAUUUCAAAGUGUCGGAAAUUACAAAUAAAAUUUGAACUCUUCUUGUAAAGAGAUAGGUCAAUGUUUUCUUUUUACGUCCAUCUUUGGUUCUCAGGACCCGGGAUGAUAGUACAGUCGUGGUACGGGCCCCGGUGGUAUGGGGAUUAGGAAAUACUGGAUUGUUUGCUCGUUUGUAAUAUUUGGCCUUAUAUAGUGUAUGUGAUAUAAACGCCUUCUUGGUGUGGGACAGGAAUGAUCAGAUGACUUUGUAAGAAGGGGCAUGUAUUCCAUAUACACAUAAGUCCAUAUAUGGUAUAAUUCCAAAUAUGAAAAUAUUCCAUAUGUGGCAAAAUACCAUUGUGAUAUUCAACAUUAUAUUGUACACAUAGGGUCAGUACAGUACAAUAUUAUCCAAACAGUCUUAAAUAAGUUAAUUAGGUUUGUUAAGUAUUCAUUAAACAUAUUUCAAAUAUGGCUCAAUCUAUAAAUGCAUUGAUUGUUUAGAUUUGACAAAAUGUACCAAAUGUUCAAAAUACGACAUAAGUAAGUCUAACUAUUUAAGAGCUAAUUGUAAACAUGAAUAAAUGG
rnacentral:misc_RNA from 1 species